UGGGGAAUAUUGCACAAUGGGCGAAAGCCUGAUGCAGCGACGCCGCGUGAAGGAAGAAGAUUUUCGGAUUGUAAACUUCUAUCAGCAGGGAAGAUGAUGACAGUACCUGACUAAGAAGCCCCGGCUAACUACGUGCCAGCAGCCGCGGUAAUACGUAGGGGGCAAGCGUUAUCCGGAUUUACUGGGUGUAAAGGGUGUGUAGGCGGCUUGAUAAGUCAGAUGUGAAAGCCCGUGGCUCAACCACGGGACUGCAUUUGAAACUGUCAAGCUAGAGUACAGGAGAGGCAAGUGGAAUUCCUAGUGUAGCGGUAAAAUGCGUAGAUAUUAGGAGGAACACCGGUGGCGAAGGCGACUUGCUGGACUGUAACUGACGCUGAGGCACGAAAGCGUGGGGAGCAAACA
rnacentral:rRNA from 1 species